rnacentral:rRNA from 1 species
UUGCACGCUGGCGGCAGGCCUAACCCAUGCAAGUCGCGCGGAUGAAGGGAGCUUGCUCCUGGAUUCAGCGGCGGACGGGUGAGUAAUGCCUAGGAAUCUGCCUGGUAGUGGGGGAUAACGUCCGGAAACGGGCGCUAAUACCGCAUACGUCCUGAGGGAGAAAGUGGGGGAUCUUCGGACCUCACGCUAUCAGAUGAGCCUAGGUCGGAUUAGCUAGUUGGUGGGGUAAAGGCCUACCAAGGCGACGAUCCGUAACUGGUCUGAGAGGAUGAUCAGUCUCACUGGAACUGAGACACGGUCCAGACUCCUACGGGAGGCAGCAGUGGGGAAUAUUGGACAAUGGGCGAAAGCCUGAUCCAGCCAUGCCGCGUGUGUGAAGAAGGUCUUCGGAUUGUAAAGCACUUUAAGUUGGGAGGAAGGGCAGUAAGUUAAUACCUUGCUGUUUUGACGUUACCAACAGAAUAAGCACCGGCUAACUUCGUG